rnacentral:tRNA from 1 species
GCGGGAGUAGUUCAGUGGUAGAAUGUCUGCUUCCCAAGCAGAAGGUCGCGGGUUCGAUCCCCGUCUCCCGCU